CGCUCGCCUGCGUGCUGUCUGUCUGGCACCGACCGGCGGUGUGCGCUGGCUAAGGGCGUCACGUCACGAGCGAGUCGUUCAGCGAGCUCACGGCGUGCGAAUUUUAAAGAAAUGUCAAAGCGUCGGUGCAUGCAACCUACGCCCAUCCCCGCCACCCACCACACCUGAUGAUUAAUAUCGCGUGAACCGAACUCCGCGAGUGCGCGCGUCCGCCCGCCGGCCGGCUUGCCAUGCCUCAAUUAUUAACCACACUGGGGCUCAUCAAAGUGCCCACCGACAUCGCCACCACGGCCGCCACGGAAGCCCCCCCCCCCACUGCCCUCCUGAAUGGACCGAGUUGGAGGCCUGCAAAGAACGCGAAUAAUCAGUCACCGCGCAGUCCUCCUUCCUUCUGCUGUACCCGGUGCAGGGGAGGUUGAGCGAUCGUGGAGCGGUUCGCGCGGUGCUACGGGCAACGAACCCGGAUAGCCCCGAGUUGGACAUUCCCGCUCACGGAGGCUCGUGAAGGACGCUACUGGGCAGUUGGAGGCAGU